GGACCAAGGAGUCUAGCAUGUGCGCGAGUCAUGGGGACCAUCGAAUCCUAAAGGCGAAAUGAAAGUAAAUUGUGCACUUGUGCAUGAUAAGGGAAGAUGGGCGUGAAAUACCGCCUCGCACUCCCGGGGCGUCUCACUCUCAUUGCGAGAAGAGGCGCACCUAGAGCGUACAUGCUGGGACCC
rnacentral:rRNA from 1 species